rnacentral:rRNA from 1 species
CGUAGGGUGCAAGCGUUAAUCGGAAUUACUGGGCGUAAAGCGUGCGCAGGCGGUUUUGUAAGUCUGUCGUGAAAUCCCCGGGCUCAACCUGGGAAUUGCGAUGGAGACUGCAAGGCUAGAAUCUGGCAGAGGGGGGUAGGAUUCCACGUGUAGCAGUGAAAUGCGUAGAGAUGCGGAGGAACACCGAUGGCGAAGGCAGCCCCCUGGGUCAAGAUUGACGCUCAUGCACGAAAGCGUGGGGAGCAAACAGGAUUAGAUACCCUGGUAGUCCACGCCCUAAACGAUGUCUACUAGUUGUCGGGUUUUAAUUAACUUGGUAACGCAGCUAACGCGUGAAGUAGACCGCCUGGGGAGUACGGUCGCAAGAUUA